GGAGCUGCAGUGCAGGGGCUCAUGGCUCAGUGGGAGGGAAGAAAGAGGAAGUGAAGGUACUGCUGGGUGGUCCCCAGCUAGCUUCAGUGGGGGCAUGGUGUGUGCUUUCAAGGUGGUAGGUGGAAGCAUUGCUGUAUUAAAUCUUUCCCAUGGUUUGCCUGCUUAUUUUUCACGUAUAUUGGGAAAAAAACUGGCAGGGCACCAUAAUAGUCCAGAUACAAGGAUAUCACAUACAGUUAACCAAAGGUAGGGGCCAAGAAAAAGUGGGGAGAAGAGGGAGAAAAAGUAGUUUUAUCAGAAAUUUCUGAGUGAAGAAAGAUAUAGCAUUUGAGACAUGAACUUGGAGCUUCCUACUAGGCAGAGCAAAAAGGGAAGUAGGCUGGGUCACCUGGCGUUCAUUGCUUAGUCGAAGAGAGCUGACCGGAUUACUAGUAGAGACAAAAUUAUUUCUGGCCACAUACCCAGAAAUCUUUGUUUUGGAGUUGGAAGCAGCAUAAAGAACCCUGGUCUACAUGACAGGGUUACAAGAAGCAUAGAGACGUUCCCUUCUGGCCACAUACCCAGAAAUCUUUGUUUUGGAGCUGGAAGCAGCAUAAAGAACGCUGGUCUACAUGACAGGGUUACAGGAAGCAUGGAUAUGUUUCCCCCCAGUGGCUGCUUUACUGUUGGCCCUUGAUGACAAAACCUUGUCAAAGCAAUUGUGUGGAGUCAAGAAGAACGUGGCUGGGCAUGCAACAUCCGGGGGGCCUAUUUUAGCCAAGAUAAUACAAUACUCGGAGGAUCUUUAAGGAGUAAAGGGUUAUCAGAUAUCAGUCAUCUUGUAGGCAGGAUUGGGGGAAGGUCACAAGCAAAAGGGAAACCCCUAUUGUGGCUUCUCCUGGCUCAAGAGGGCAGCUGUGUGGGCUGGCCCCUGUGACCUCACAUAGGCAGGGCUAUGAACUGGGGCACAUCAACACAUUGUGCUGCAGGGUGCAAGAAAGUGGCUGGGAGCAAGUUCAGGCCGCCCUGGCUUUGGGGGCCUACUGAAUUGGUACCCUGUAUAUCUGGGGACUUGGGAUACAGAUACGUCUUUCUAUGGCCCUCUUAUUACUUAUUUGUCUAGGUUGUUUUUUUGUUUUUGUUUUUUUGCAUUCCUACCUUUAAGAAGGGAGAGGAAGUGGCAUUUACUGAGCACUUAGCAUGUGCCAGGUCCAUGUCUAAUGUCAGCUUAUCGGGCUAUGGAGCCCAUGCAGGUUGAUUGUUGAAGGAUCUGGGUGCACCUUCUGGGCUCUGCCUCUGGUGUUCUCUGUCUCCUGCUCCUCCUGUUCAUGGAAGGAGAUUCUUUGACCACCAAUGUGGCCUCUAGAACUGUUGGCCACUUUGUGAGGGGCAGCAUAGAGAGCAGUGGACCAGAGGGACUUAGGUGCAGCCUUCUGGAGGGUUUCCCUCGCACUCAGUCCCGUCUGUCUAAUCUCCUCUGGUAAAGCAGCCUCCACAGGCAGCAAGAGGCCAAGAGCUGAGCUUGUGUUCGGUGCCAGGGUCCUGAGGGAAGGCAGCCUGCUAUCUUUCCCUUGGGGAAGCAGGCUGGCUCCAGGAGUUCUCACCACAGAUGUAUAUGCAUGCCUGGGCCCUAACCGCAGCCAGUGCAUCCCAUCCCCUCCACCAGGCCUGGUGAAACCCAGCUCCAAGGAAGCCCAGGACCAGCUCCAGCCCUUGGGCUGUGGCCUGCACCUCCCUGCAGCUCUGUCAGUCUUGCAUUCAGCAGGCGUUGGCUCCAGCUUAAAGGGGUGGUGGUUACAACAGUGACUUUGGGUCAUGUUCAGAAUGUCAGAGUGGAGAGGAAUCAUUGAGGUCAUCUAAACCUAACAGCCUCAUUUUACAGAUGGCGAAACUGAGAUUAGGGAGGGACAGAGACUUGCUUGAGGACACACAGUGAAUUGAUGGCAGAGUACAAAGUAUGGCCUGUGCUUUGCAAACUUUGGGGUAGGAUACUGAAGGAAGUGUAGUGUUAGUGUCAGUGCCUGGGCACCCUAGACAUGAAGAAAUGGCAGAGGCCUCUGCCAGGGACCAGACUCCAUGCCGGGUACUUUCACAUAUACCCUCAUUAAGCCUCCUGAUGUCUCUUCAAAGGAGAUGUCCCAUUUUACAGCUGAGGGAAACUGAGAAGUUCAGCUCCUUUCCUGGAGUUGCACCAAUGGAAGUAAGUGGCUCAGUCUGAGUGCAGAAUAUGGCACAGGGGCUGGAGGUCCCUCAGAACAGGCAGGAUGUUGUUAUAGGAGUCCAGACUUGGGAAUGAAGGGGGAUGGGAGAGGGCAUCUGUUGGGAGCCCAACCUCGUGGAGGGUUUUCCCCUGCCUGGUGCCUUAGGAAUGGAGCCAGAGUCCCCUACUGGGUGCUGCUGAAAACCUCAAAGGUGAGUAGCUGUUCAUUUGAGUAGAAAUGACCUGAGGGACUUUGGCUUUUUUUUUUUUUUGAGACAAGGUCUUGCUCUGUUGCCCAGGCUGGAGUACAGUGGUACAAUCUUGGCUCACUGCAUCCUCCACCUCCCAGACUCAAUCAAUCCUCCUGCCUCAGCCUCUUGAGUAGUUGAGACCACAAACACAUGCCACCUUGCCAGGCUAAUUUUCUUGUAGUUUUAGUAGAGACAGGGUCUCACUGUGUCUUUUAGGGUGGCCUCCCACUCUGGUCUCCCAAAGUGCUAGGAUUGCAGGCAUGAGCCACUGCACCUGGCCGACUUUGACCUUUUAAUGAGGGCACACCCCACAGGGUCAAGUCCAAGGCAGGGCAGUUUGAUUUAGCCAGGAACCUGUUAAGACCUCUUUCAUUCUCUUUCCAGAGAGGCAUUCUAGCAUAUGCUGCUCUGUGUUUGCAUCCUAGCUUGGCAUCUAUGCCCAAGUUUACCCACAUUUCUUGUUUUUCAGAAUACAGGUGAUUAAAAGGGGUGUUUUCUGGUUGUAACGAUCCUUGCUGAAGCUCCCCUUGACUCAGAAUUAUUUGUGUGUAAUUCUCUGUGGCAUCACCCCAGUGAUUGACGGCAGGGCUGGAUGUGGGCUAGGAUGGCCAUUGGUGCAUAAAUGUUCCAGGAGGCUUGCAGAGCUGACGUGAAGCUCUUUGAGGGGGAGAUGGUGGCAGAAGAGAGGGUGGUGCUGGUGAUGGCAGUGGAGUGGGAGUGACAUGGAAAAAGUUAAACCUUUUAGAGUGACCCUUUUUAGAUGAUAUUACAUUUUAUGUGUGUGCAUGUAACUUGUAGUUACAGGGCAGCAUCUUCAAUCAAUAAGCGUAAUGCUGACAAGAAGGCUGUCCCCUCUCUGUGCUGCAGACGAUGUACCUAUGCAGGAGGAGCCUGGGCUGGAGUCAAGCAGAUCUGGGAUGGCCACUUUCCACCUGAAUGACCCAGGGACCUCGGUUGUCCCCUGCAAGGCAGUAGCCUCAGAGCGGGCAGUCAUUAGUGCUUCUAGCCGCUUUGGGCCUCUGGCUGUGUGAUGAUGGGCAGCACAUUGUGUGCCCUCAUGUUUACUUAUGUAUGGAAGGAUGGACCAGUGAUAAUAACAACAGGGAGGCAGCUGGUAAGCUCUCUAGUACUUGCUUACGGCACUUGAUGUCACUUCUUAACUGGGUCCUCACCAUUACCCUCUGGAGUGUAGGCUGCCCCACUUGACCAGUGGAGAAACCAAGGCACAGAGAGGUUAAGAAACUAGCCCAAGACAUCCCAGCUAGUAAAUCAGUGAUGGGGUUGACUUCCUAGCCUGUUUAAAUCAUCAUUUGGGGCAUUCUUUCCAGGACCCACCCAGCCCUGGUGCACUGCAGUUUGGUCUUCAGAUUCCCCAGCACAUCCAGCUUGGUCAGUGAUUCACUGAUGAGGUUUUGUCUUCUGUGUCCCUCAGCUCCAUGCAGCAGGUGGUGGGGAGCGUGGCCCAGCUCUGUGGGCUGUAACUAGGACGGAGGGCCUGGGGAAGUGUGCCUGUUUCUCCCAGGGGCUUCUCUCACUCCUGCCCUCUGAAUGUCUCAGCUCAUCCUCUCCAUGGGCUCCCGUUUGUGUCACCUGCAGGAAUAUGUUCUGGCUCCAAGAUGGAUGCUCAGCCCUUCACAAACCUCAGAGCCCCAUUGCCUGGGCCUCACUUGCCAUCCCCAUAGCCUCUCUCACCCCAGCAGCAUCUCUGGGGGUGUCUCCUUAAACCCUAUAGCUCUAUAGAACCUAAUUGGAGAUCUAGUGACCUGGCUUAAGCUUUCUUUUUUAUAGGUAGGGAAACUGAGGCUCAGGAAAGUUAUCAUCCUUUUGAGAUAUUUUUUAAAACUCACUUAUUAAAUGUGCGGCUGUCUUGUAAACCAGUGAGCUGACCAUUCCUAGAGGUGUCAAAGCAGAAGCAAGACAGCCCACAUUGGACAGUGAUAUGAAAGGGAGUUCAGUCUCAGAUGGGUGGCUGGCUCAAGCCACUUCUGAGGUCUGCAUUAACUCUGAGCUCCCAGGAUGCCAUGAUUCACUGUGACCUGCCUUUCAAGCACAGUGACUGUCAUUAGUCACCCAGGACCAGCCCCACAAAGAUAGUACCUGAGACCAACUCUGAAUAGGACAGGUUUGGAUAGGGCUGGCAACCUCCUUUCUCACUGCUGGCCUGGCUAAUUGUUCAGUCCUCUUUCCCCUUUUCAUCUUCCUUGACUCGUCUCUCAUGAUGCAAUUCUGGUCUUGGCCUUUUUCCAUGCCCUGCUGCCCAUCUGGGCCUCAGUUUCCUCAUGUGUAAUUUAAAGAGAAAGAACCAGAGCAUUUCUGGGUUUUCUUCAUGCCCCAGUGUCUGUGUAUUUGGAAUCCUCAGGCCAUGCCUCCUGUUGCACCAGUGAUCAGGCUGCUUCACAACUCCUUCUUUCCCUCUUCAGGUCUUGAUUCCAGGCUUAAGGUUCCCAGGUGCAUGGCAUCCUGCUGAUGCAGCACAAAGGGCACUGGAUCCCUAUCAGGCUGACUUGGGUGCCUGGCUGGCUGACGGUGCUUAGCUUACUGAGGGCUGUGGUGUCAUUGUAAAAUAGGGCCUGCGAUGCUGAUGCCCAUGUGGAAAAUAAGCUUUGCACAUGUGUGUGAGAUUGUUGUUAUUGGGGGUGAGAGGGCCUGUUUGGUCCUUCCUGUGGUAUACUGUGCUAUUGAAUUCUCUAGUCACUCCCUGUAGGAUCCCCCACCCAUCUGGAAGUAGGUUGCACCCUUGCCAGUGCUGGAGCUGGUCCCUGGGCCCUGUGCAGUGCACAUGGUCAUCACAAGGGCUCCAUGCCAGGCUCUGUUGGAGAGUGGACCGAGUAAUUGGGGCAGACACCACUACUGCCCUCCAGGAACAUGCACAAAGCAGACAGGCAUAGACCUGGAGUGGUCAGUGGUGGGUGCACUGAGGUGCACAUGUGGCUCUCCAAGAGUUCAGAGACAGGAACAAGGGCUUCCAAUUUGGGUGAUCCAAGUAGAGUGGGUUGUGGGAGGUGGUGGUGACGAGGACUGAGUCAGACAACCCAGGCUGUGGGGAGAGUUUGAGAAAGACAUAGAGGGUGGGCCCUUGUUGCUAGAGAGGAGUGACUGGAGAUGAGACUUUUGAUAGGAUAAUGAUAGAAAAGCUCAUGGGGCAAGAGCAUGUAGAUAUUGAUUGGGAUCUGGAAGCCCAAGUUAACCUAAAGGCAGAAAGUGUUUCAGUACCUGAGACCCUCUCUCCACUGGCCUUCAGCCCUAAGAAUUUUCAGAGGUACCCAAGGAGUGGUGGUGACAUGCAUGACACUCACUAGCUUUUGCAAAGGGCUUCCCUGUGUGCCAGACACUGCUCCAAUACUCUCUAUUCAUUAGCUCACUUAAUCCUUGAAACAAGCCUGUGAGAUAUAGGAAUGUUCAUCAUUCCCAUUUUACAGAAGAGAAUACCAAGUCUCAGAUUAAAUAAGCAGCAAAACAGAACCAAUAAGUGCCUUCUGGAGUCCUUGCUUACAGGCAAAAUACUCUCACUUCUGUCCUGUGCUCCCUAGGGGCUCUGAGGAAUAACUGGGAAAUUUACAGUCACUUAGGCCGCCUUUUUAGAAAUGACUAACUCUUCCUCUGGCAUCCUUAUAAAACUGUUCAAAGUCAUCUCACUGGAUGAAUCCUUAAGCAUUAAUUGAAAGCAUUUUUACAUAAUUUUUAAUAUGUAAGCAAUUACACGUUAAAAAGUCCUUAGCAUGUUUUUAUUAAACCAACUUUAUAGCCUAAUAAGAAGAAAUUAAAAGAAAGUCAAUUAACACAGAGCCCCCCUGCUCUGACGUGGCUGUUUUCCUUGCUUACAACUGACCUUCUGCCCGUUUUAACUCUGCGCUGGUAGGCACGGUCCAGAUGAAGCCAGUGACCGAUUUUAAAGGCAAGAGGGUGUGUUCUUUUGUAUUUUCUUGUCCUCUGGCCUGGCCUCUUCUAGUAGCAAUUUGCUCUCUAGGAGAAUCGUGAGGUUUGUCAUAUUAAAGACUGUGUUCCAAUUGCGGCCUCUUUGUUUCAGGAGAAAGGAGGCAGGAAGUACAAAUUCUAGCAUUGGCUCUGCCCCUGACCUGCUUUGUGACCUUGGACAGGUUGCUUCCCUUCUCUGGGCUUCAGUUCCCUCAUCUCUAAAAUCAGAUUCUUCCUCCUUCACUGGGUGUCAGGAGGAUUCUGAGAGGUCAUGGGUCUGGGAUGACUUCAUAAACCCUUAGGUUCCCUGCCUCUGUGAUCACACUGGCCCCCUUUUCAGGCCUGGUUCUAGCAUGCAUGCUGCCAUCUGUCCUCUCAGGACAGACAGGAUACCAUUCUGGACAGCCAGCUCUAGAGGCCCUUCCUACAGCUCCUGUUCUCUCCUUCUGGAAUGAACUCUCCUGCAGACCAGCAAAUGCUUCUCAGAAAAAGGAGCCUGCUUCAAGCUCCUCCCUGGCCUGCCCUCCCCACCAAGUCCCCAGCAGACUCAGCUCAUCCUGGUGGUACAGCUCUCCCCUGGCUGGAUGAUGACAGGAUGAAACUGUCCUUGAGGAACAAUGCUUUUGUCCUCAUAUAUGCUUCCUUCCCGAGGCCCAGAGAGGGGUGCGCACCAGCCAAGUUCACACAACAGCAAGCCACAGGGUGAGUCUCCUGACUUACAUCCUGGAGCUCCUGGGCCUUGUUUUGAAAUGUUGUGAAAUCCGUUAUCACAUAGUCCUGCCUGGCAGAUAGCAGGCUUGGUCAUGGACUGUGCAGAGUUCCCUAGCUGGUCUGUCAUUUACCAGAAUGACUUACCUACCGCACAGGAAGGAGAUCGUCAAGUAUAAAUAGAUUUUGUAUUAGUCACCUGAUGACUUUCCGAUUCUUAAGAAACAGCAGGGCUCACACACCCAGCCCAGUGGUGCUCAUCUGCAGAGCUGUGGGCUGGGAGGGAAGUGGGAAGCCUGGGUUUCCAUGGUGACCAGCGGGCCAUUCUAGGAGCUGCUUUCUAUUCUCUCGCCCCUAUUCCCCUCUUGUCUUUGACCCCUGACACUGAGCACGUUCAGGUUGUCAGGAAAGUUGCAGCAGGCCGGGAACAGGCCAGGGAGAGCAGACAAGUCAUUGACAGCACCCCUGCUGUGGACUGAGGGUCCUUGCCCUCCAGGUGCUCCUGUCACAUGGGGAGGGUGGACAAGGGCCCAGAGAACACUCAUGUCUGUAAUAUAAAGCAAACGAAGAAAAAUUACACUGGAGAGAAAUCUGGUCUUGGAGAACACAGAGGAAGGAGAAGGAUAGCCUCCAGGACCAAAGUGUCCUGCACAAAGCAGAUGCUGGUUGGCAUCCUAGCAAAGCCACACUUGAGGUCCUGACUCACAAUGACCUUCCCAGGGAGGCAUUCUGGCUACUUCUCUUACAUUUCCACCCCUCCCCACCUCUCAUGUUGUUCCUUAACACCUGUCGUUUUUUAGCAUACUACAUACUUUAUUUACAUUUUUUUUUUUUUUUUUUUGGUCAUCUUUCUCACCACUGAGAUAUGGGCUUCACAAGGGCAGAGAUGUAGGUUUUGUUGCCUACUGGAACCUAAAGUACCUGGUACAGAGUAGGUGGUCAGUAAACACUGGUUGAAUGAGUGAGUGCAUUAAUUGACUCCAGAGACCCGGGCUGGUCCACAGAGUGCUGGGUGCCCCUCAGGAGCCCAGGGACCGCCUAUCCUCCUCCAAAGAGUGCCAGAUCUGGAAAGUUUGGGUUUAGCCACUUGCUAGGUGGUCAGGGAGGAGCUGCUUUGGCCUCAGGGUGGGAGUUGGGUAGGAGUUCUGACCAGUUCUGUCUCUGCAGCUGGUGGACUGCAUAAGGAAUAACUGAUCCUGCCUUGGCUCCUUCCUCUCUGGGCUGAGAGUUCCGUGAAGGAGGGGACUGGUCUUAAUCCAUCUUCAUUUCUCUUCUGGGCCCAGUAAAUAUUCACUGAUUGAAUGAAUGAGUACAGGAAUACAGGUCUGUAUGGAGAAGAAAUGAAAGAAAAGGAAACAAAUAGGUACUCACAAUAAACAGCCUUUUCCAUUCUGCUGAGACUUGCUUGCUUGAAGUCACAGUGCCUAUGUCAGAGGAAGAAUGCAGUGCAUUCAUUCAUUGACUGGGUGGCUAUUUGUGAGCACCUGCUGUGUGCUGGCACUUCUGCUCCAGGGUCUAUCUAUGAACUGUUCUCACGGAGCUAACAGUUGAGUGAGGGACCGAGGUGGCCAUGUUGCCUAGCCAUGAUUCCCUGAAACUCAUUUGCUAGACACUCCAGCUCUGAGUUAUCAAGGGCUGGAAGUCAGGGGCUUUCUCAAAGACCUGAGCAGAGUGGAGGCUUGUCACCAGGGCCAGGGCUGCCUUCAGUAGGAAGUAUGCUCUCAGUGCUGUCUUAUGGGAAUAAGGGGGACAGCUGUGGCCCAGUGGCUGGCAGGUGUGUUCAUCUGUCCUUGGCCCCAGUAGAGAAGCAUAGGCCCUGAGGGUUUACAUGGGUUUUCCCCGUGCUGCUGGCACUAAGCCUCAUAGGUGUGAGGGCCCAGCAAACAGAUUGCAGUCCUGCUGAGCAUUUGGCAGUGAGGGCCCAGGCCCCUUGGAACACAGCCCUAACUCCUCAUCUUUCCUAACAGCUGUAAGAGAAACAUACAUUUUACCCAAGGUAGAAAUAAAGGAACAGGAAUGUGAAAUGUAGGAGUUCACCUCCGUAGGCCUGCCUUACUUAGCCUUGUGUUUCAGAACCCCAGAGACAUUAAAAGAUCUGAAAGUGCAGAAACUGAUAGAGAUACCUGUCCUGAAACAGGCUCAGGGAGACUCAGGUUAAUCCGCAGCAAAGCUCCUGUAUCCUGUACCCACCCAGCUCCCUGCAUGCUGGGUAGGGUGUGGAAACCAUGCGGAAACCCACACUGCAGGGGUGUGGCAUGAUUAGGAAGUCAUUUAAGAAAACAGGCCCGCCUGGGAGUGUGGGGUGAAAUCCAGCAGCACCUAGGAAGAGGCAGGGAGACAGGUUCUAUGGUUCCAAGGCUACGGCUGUCAUCUAGGCCAGGCCUAGAUGUGGGGGCUGUGGGGUCAGGGCCCUUUCCUCCCCAGGGUAGGUGUGGUGGAAGGGCCUGCCAGCCAGUGGGUGCUGUGCAGAAGGGAGAGAAGCUGGGAUGACACCAUCAGUGCGGCCCUUAGUUAGUGGGAGGGUGGGAAAGUCAGUCACCUGAUGAAACCUGUCCUAUCUGAGAAGGGAAGGGAGGUUCCUGGGGAGGAGUCAGGAAGUUGAGAUAUGGUCACCUUUGAGGUGGGAGCAGCCAUCUGGGUGUGCUUGGGAGAGAUUGAAUGCAUUCAUGUGUUAGGGAAGGUGCUGGAGUCAGAUCAAAGGAGGGCCCCAAACUGUUCCAGGGGUCUGGGGGCCACCAUCAGAAGUCCUGGACUGUGUUUCUAGUCUGGGGAGAGGGGGAGUGUGCAGGGACCGGCCAAGGAAAUGGCUGGCCACAGUUCCUGCCUUUCAGAAGCCUGAAGGAGGAGAUUCCAUGAUUCGCCCCACACCCUACUAUUUGACUAAUUAAUUAGUACUCUCCUCUAAGUAGGGCUCAGGCUGGCUUUCUGGAAGCUUAGAGAGAUGAGAGGUCUGUGUUAAAGGGUGCCUUUUAUAGAUGAUGCCAGAGGUCUGUGCCUUUUAUACAUGAUGCCAGGAAUCUCCCUAAGGCUCUGAGAGGCAGCAGGUGAGAUGAUUUCCAUUUUGCAGAUGAAAAGGCUGAGGCUGAUGAUACUUCUGGCCCCUUCUCCCUGCAGGGGUUUCUGCCUGGUGAUGCAUGGGAGGGGGCUGAGUAAUAAUAGCAGGUGAGUCCUGCCUCAGAGGCUGCAGUAUAGCAGGUACCUCAGGUUCAGUGCUCUUCCCCUCCUUGUGGAGAGUCCCUCCCUCACCCUUUCAGCUGGCUUGGCCUGUGUGUAUUCAUAUGGUUAGUGAGGGCUGGCUGCAGUCAUUUUCCAAAACAGAUAGCUGAGCAGAAAGAAGUAAAAUGCUGCCUCUUCACCCUCUCUUUCAGGGUAUAGGCUUGUCAUUGUACCUGGCCACCUAAAAAGUAGUGCAUCAAAAGAGGGCUGUCUCCCAAGCCCAAGCCUCAGUUUUUAGGCCUGUCUGUUCCCACUGCCCCCAUCACCCCAUUCUGUCCAUAUGCCGACACAACCCUCAUCAUGUCCAUCGUGACAUACCUGCUAGACUGGAAGCCUCUGGAGGGCAGGAUGACAGGGCAGGCUGGGGCUGGAGUGUCUCGCACUUAGACUGUCGGUGCCCUGUGUUUAAGGUCUUGGCCUGGAACUUUCUGGUGAAGAAUGUCCCCUCAUCCAGAACUUGCUGGUUUUGAUGGAGUGUUUUGUUCACAUAAUGAGUAAACAUCCCCCAUAGAGCUCUCAGCUUCUAGAACCAAGAGGUGCUUGCUGGGCCGGCUCACCUCUGCCCUGGCCAAUGGGGCAGUGCAUGUCUUAUCCCCAGCACCCCAGCUGGUCUCUCACCUGCUGGCCUGUGGCCCUGUUCCCUCCCAUUUACUAAGCCUCAAGUCUCUGUGUGGAUGCUGGCACAUGCACUCAUGCCCCCAUGCUCCCAGACACCAGCCCUUUCUGAAGCCACCCUCUCUGGCAGCUCCUCACCAGGUCAGGGUCUUCCAAGUCUUCAUGCUGCCCUAGUGGGCCUCUUUUGGCCCCUGGGUCCCCCUUCCCUGUCCUCUACGUUUUAGGCUGGGUAGUAGAGCCCCCAGCUUCCUGAGGUGAAUGGCCUUCAUCAUGCCUGCCUUCAGCUCUAGCCUCUUGCUGCCCAAUUCCUGACACCUCUGGCUUGGCCCCUCCACCUUUGCCAGCACAGACCUCAGGGGUAGGAUGGGUCAUGCCCACCUCCUUGGCAGAUCUUUAUUCAAUGGGCUCCAUCAGGGCCCUUUCCUUCCAAGUCCCACAAAGCCCCGAGCAGCUCAGGCUCACCUUCCCCAGAAGCCUCUGCACGCCUCUGGCUCCCUGGCCUGCUGCUUUCCCCAGGCUCCUGUGGCUCAAGGCAGAAACAGGCCAGUUGGCAUUCAAUUUUCUGCUCAGGUGGUAUUUAUUGAGAAACCCUGUGACCUCAUGCCCUUCACAGUGUCUCUCCUAAGCCUAAGGCCCAGGGAGGCAGUGCCUGAGUUGUUUCCAUUUGCCAGUGACAAAACAGGAGCAGAGGCUUCAGUGACAGCUCGGGGCCUGGGAGCAACUCCAGGAACCUGGGAGUUGUGUUCAAGCCCAGGCAGGAGCAGGUCAGGCCGUCAGUGGGCCAGAUGGACCGUUGGCUGAGGGACGCACGUAAGCCUGAGAUGGAUCUCAUGGGCCAGCUCCUGCCCUCCCUAGUAACAGAAGCAGAGGCCUGGAGUCAGGAGGCUCCCUGCAACAGCCUCACCACCCUGCAGAAUUGGGAAACAGCCGAUGGGCAACAGCUGUUGACCUCUUCUAGGGUUUUCUUCUGUUUCUGUGCUGUGUCCCCUUCCCUUAUGGAGAAAUGCUUCUGCUGAACGAGUCUUUGCUAGGGGAAGGGUUAGUGCUGAGCUACUGGGUGGCCUGCUCCAGUGGGCGCUUUGGGACAUAGUACAGUUGGGACAGUGUCAGAGCCAGGUAAGAUAGAGGAGGGGCAGCCAGGCCCCAUGCCCCAGUCCUGCCCUUCAGGGUAAAACUCAGGAGGGUCUUCGUGGAGCAUCCCUGGAAGCCCUGCUGUUCUGGGCACUGCAGCGAACACAGGGGCUGGAAGGUGGUGCCCACCUUGGGCCUCCCCUCAGGAGGGCUGUCCAGUGGGAUGUGGCUCAUGACUGCUGUCACAUGUGAGUGGAGAACCCUGCCCUUGUGGGACUGGGGGCCUCAUGGAGGGUGCGGCCCAUUCUGCUUGGUUGGGGGUGGGUGUUGUUUAGGAUUGGGUGGGAAGAGUGGUGCGAGCAGGUGCAGCGAGGGGUAUGGCCUAGCCCCAGUCUUUAAGGGUGGAGUUGGAAGGAAUUGGAGGCUCCAGCCUAGGACAGAACCCAAGGAGGUCCUGUAUUUAGCUGCAGGGGACUCAGAAUUGUGAAAAGCACCCACCUGGGGCAGGCCCCUAGGCCUUUGGCUCAUCCAUCCCUGCCCGCUUCUCACUCCCAUCCCCAGCACAGCCCAGGCUGAGCCUCAGAGGAAACUAGACAAUAUUUUUAAUUAUUGUAUAAUUAACAUCCAGAAAUUAGGAGGAAGGGCUUGGUCCUUAUUAAUAUCCUCAGCCUAUUUAGCCCCAAGACUUGAAACUAAUUUUCAUCUGGACCAGGAUUUGUAGUAAAUUCCCAAGGCUCCAUACUAAUAAAAAGUUUCUGGCUGCCUUUUGGGCCUUAGCCCCAUCCCCUAGGCUUGGCUCCCCAAAUUUGCAGAAAUAUAUGAUUUCCUGGGGUGAGAAGGGAUGGAUCUUAAAACUCAUGGUCUCCAUCCUAGGAGACCGUGCAGGCAGGUCCUGGAGCCCUCAGGAACUAGUACUUCAGUUAAAAUACACAGUCUGUUUUUAGCUCACUUUUUAACUGAACUUUUUAACAGUAUGCAAUGCUGUUGGAAAAGCUUCAACUCGGGUAUUAGAACCUAUCCCCUCUCUGGAAAUCUUUCUUAGAGUGAGAAUUUUAGAGCUGAGCUAGGUUGGGGGGCUAGACAGAGGGUGGUGGGGUUGGGGUGAGGGGGAUAUGGGAGGAGGGUUCUCCCAGCAGUCCCAGGAAUGGCCUGAGCUCAAGUCCUACCUAGCCCAGGGCCCCUUCCAGUCACUACGAUGUCUUCUUAUAUGGCUCAUGUGAUUUGGUAGUACCCUUGCAAAGCAAGGCCUCCUGCCCUGCCUUUCUGUGCAGUAACCCUACCCAGGUCCAUCAUUUGCUCUGCCUCUAAGUCCUCUUUAUGCAGGGUGCGAUGAUGGCCUUUAUAUCUCUCUGUUUAAGCAUCUAGGAGGAAAACUUCCUUGUUUCAGGAAAUCUAUGGCUUUGUGGAAAUUUCUAAUUAAUAUUGUCAGACCGUUGGCAUUUCUCUAAUUUCUUUCAACACCUUGGCCUUCAGUUAUUUGUGUGGGGUUAUUGCUAUCACCAUGUAUAUUUAUUUCUCAUUUUGCUCUCCCAUAUCUCAUUUUAUCCUCAGAACAACCUGGAGGGCAGUCCUUGCUGUCCUUUUUUUAAGACAGACAAACUGAAAACCAGAGAAUCUAAGGGCCCACCAGGGUCAGCCAGCAGUAGUUCCAGGACUUGAGCGAGGGUCUCUUUGCUAUAUCGUCAGUCCCUGUCACCUUCCCCUCCCUUCCAUUAAAAAGAGUCUGUGCUUGGAGUCAGGUCCUGUGAGGUAGGAUCAGGGUGGAUGAAAGUCACUCAUCACUCCUGCUCUCUAGAGUUCAUGGGGAGGACACAAGUGAUCUUUUCUCAUUUCUCCUCUUCGUCUCCUUUGGCCUCUUAUCUACAGAGGUCUCAGCGGGUAAGUGUAGGUGAACUGCCAAGGGCUCAAGUCAUUGUUCUAACUCCACGGUGGACGCUGGGAGAGAGCCUUUCUGCCGGUGAGCACGUGACCCCCCAAGGAAAGGAACCCUAAACUUCUGGGGCCAGCCAGCUUCCUUCUCACUCUAAGAGGCUGCUUGUGCCUCAGUAUCCCCGGCACCUGGUCUCACCAUGCAGUGAAGCAGGACUGCAGACCUAGCUUGGAGAAUAUCCAAACCAAAUCUCCUGGAUGUGGCUUCCAGGUCAAACCCUUCCAGGUCCUAAGGGUUUAGCCUGGAGAAGCUGUCCUUGGCUGAAGGUUGGAACUGGCCAGGCUCUCUCCAGCCCACAUGUCUUCACAUUCAGGGUGAGGAAAGGCAUAAUUGUGUCUGGGAAGAGCCCUGGUUUGACACUAGCCACGGAGCUGUAAUUAUCGUCUUUAAUUACACGAUGGUGCCUUUGCCAGGAAGAUGUGCUUGACUAUUAUCUCCUCUUGACAAGGGUGGUUCUGUCUCCUUUGUAAGUACUGAUGUAAACACACAGGCUCACUUGAGAUUUCAAAAUUACCAAAGAACCAUUCAGAGUUGCCUACCUAAGGACCCCUGCCUUUUGGAGGAGAAAAGGACAAGCCAGGUAUCAUCCAUGCAAGUGCUUUCUUGCCUGCUGAUGAAAAAGAAUGUCCACUUCCCUCUGAGUUGACUUGAUCUCUGAAACUGAAAAAAAGAACACACUUUUCCCUGAUGCUUAAAAGAAAGAAAACAGGAAGAGCAAAAAGCCAUGUAACAACAACAUGUGUGUUUACAUACCAAGCACAUCCCUGCUUAUUUGAUUCUCACACCACCCUGGCGAGGUAGGCGCAGGGCAUGUGGUGCUAUCUCCAUCGUAUAAAUGGUGAGAUGAAGUCUCAGAGAGGAUACGGGACUUUCCCUAAGUCACACAGGAAACCAGGACUAAAGCACCCUGACUAUAAGGCAGGCUUUGGCACCUGCAGGGCAGUAUUUCGGUUGAUUUUGUGAGCUCCCUCAACCCCAACUCGCUCUGGGGCUCAUGUGGCAAGUAAAGCCCCUCAGCCUUGAGGGGUUUCUGAGGGCCAAAUGCCAUGCACUAUAUAGGACUGAAUUCAGGGGCAGCCCCCAAAGACUUCAGAGGCCAAAUCACACUACAUUCUCCAGUGGACUGUACAAGUUAGCCAGCGUUACAGACAGAAUCAGCCCACCCUGCAUUGGAACAGCCUUACUGGGGAAUCAGCACACAGAGCAGAGGAUGGGAGGCUCAGUAGAAUGCACCCCUGCCCCCCAGGCUCUGCUCACCACACUGGGUCAGCGUGAAGAGCAGGCCGCCCUGAAGACCCAUGAGUGCAGGGCCUUCCAGGGUCAGUUGGUGCCUUCCAGGGUCAGUUGGUCAACAUGGAGAAACAAGGGCAAGAUAGUGGGCAGUGGCGAAAUGCAGAUUCCUAGGCCCCAUCCUGUAGUGGCUCUCACUAAAGCCCAGGAACCUGAAUUACAUGGCUCCAUGGUUCUGGGACAGAUAGUCCCAUGGUUAGAGAGUCACUGCUUUAGCAGAGGCCUUAGGCCUGGGGUCUCCUUCAAUUCUUAAAGCUGUGGUCUGGCCUGGUCUGUUCUGGUCUGCCAGCAGUACCUGUUCUCUGAUUUCUCCCUCCCUCUCUUUUCUCUCUCCACUACAUGGCAGGAGGGAUGGACAUCCAUUGUGUUGUUUCCUUGAAACUACCUGUGCAAGUCCUGAGGACCCAGCCCUGGGGCUAUGGAAAGCAAUGGAAACCACCCACUCAGGUGUGGUGCCUCAGCCUCAUGGCUCUUCUUGUCAGCCUUCACAAAGCUGUAAUUCUUACAGGAAUUUUGUAAAUCUCUGAAUGGCCAAAUAGAACAGGGCUGGGGGUAAAGGGCAUGGGGUGGAUAGUGGGGAGAGACAUGAGUCGAAGGGUACAGGAGUGAAUCCCAGCUCCUCUGAACCCUGGUUUGAGCUUGGACAAGGCAUUGCCUCAGUUUCUCUGUCUCUUAACUCAAGGCUUCAACCAGAUCCUGAGAUGACUUUAGUGCUUUAGUGCUAACCUGCCCUGGUAGUGGGGGCAGUCACACAAAGACAUACUGGCUGCACACAGGGACAUAAUCUCCCAAAACACUGAAACCCCCACGUGCCGCUGAUGGCUUGGCUGCUGCCGAGGCUGCCUUUGUUCAGUCAGACCUCUACUCAGUAUGUGGCACUUGGUGUCAGCAGCUUCCACUCAGCGCUCCGGAAACCUGUUUAUGAGCUGAAGUCACACUAGCCUCCCUGGGGGAUAUCUUUCCGCAGAAGCCUACUUCCGAACGGGCCUAAUUGCACCAUGCAUAUGUUUAAAUAAUUUUUUUCAGUGUAUUUUGAAGAGCUGUCAUUUUGCAUGUGCAUCAUUGGAGUAAAGUGGAGCAGCCAUUUGAGCUCCUGGGCACCCUGAGUCUGCAGCAGGCUUUCUUCACGCCUUACGGGGGAGAGACCUCAGGGAGGAGAGAAGUUAGGAACUUUGAGAACGGAGUGAGAGCAGCUCACUUGCUGGUCUCAGCCCUUCCCAGAUUCCUCCUCACUCUCCCUUGAUGAGUUUCCCAGGACUGGCUAGAUCAUGUUACUCUCCUGCUUAGAGAUCUCCGCUGGGUUCUACAGAUGUGAGUCCAGACUUUUCCUCAAACCCUACACCUCCCCCAAACCCUACACCUCCCCCAACAUCCGCCUAGAGGAUUCCCAGGGCAAGGCAACACCCUAGCACCCCCUUGCUUUCCCGUGUAAAUGCUCUCUGUCCUCUUGACCGAAGGGCCCUGUGAUCCCACAGGGACUUUCUCCCUCUUGUUCUGUCUUGCUUUUGAGUUCCUCCAGCAGCCUGGGCAGGGCCUGAGUGACUCACAGUGGGUUCCCCAGAGCCCAACACAGAGCCUGGCUCUUGGGAAGAGCUGGUUGAAACUGGAGGAAAAACAAGCCUUUCCUCUGCUCCCAUCUCAGCCUUGCCUUUGAAGUCAGUUUAAUGGCCACAAACCUAUUAACCAUUGUACUGUUGGAUUUCCUGUUUGUCCCUGAAAAAUAAGCAGUCAAAAUAGGAUUUUGAGGACAGGCACGGUGGCUCAUACCUGUAAUCCUAGCACUUUGGGAGGCUGAGGAAGGUGGAUUGCUUGAGACCAGCCUAGACAACAUGGUGAAACUCCAUUCCUACUAAAAAUACAGAAAUUAGCUGGGCAUGGUGGCAUGUGCCUGUAGUCUCAGCUACUCAGGAGGCUAAGGCAGGAGGAUUGCUUUAGCCCGGGAGGUGGAGAUUGCAACGAGCUGAGACCGUACCAUGGCACUCCAGCCUGGGCAACAGAGCCAGACCCUGUCUUUAAAUAAGUAAACAAAAUAGGAUUUUGAGACCAUCAGAACAUGUGCUGUUUGGAUUUGAAAACAGGCAAUGCAGAGACCAUGUGUCUGGCCUUGGGGCUGGUGGGAGAGGUUGUGAGUCUCCGGGGCCCCUGCGGUUCUGGGAAGUUUACCGUUUAUGGAGCCUUGGUGGUCAGGAAGCCCAGGCCAGCAGGAUAGCGGUCCAGCUCAGUACUUUGAUAGGGCCCUUGCCCUAGUGUUUCCCUCCCUCCUCCCUCCAAGCUGCCUGCUGCCGGCCACUGUAACUCAGAGCUCGGAGCUCAGAGCAACAGGAAUGCUGUAAAUCCCCCUUGUGCUCCUCUUUACAAGAAGGCAUUUGGGCACAGUGGCACUUUACAAGGGAAGGCAGCGCUGCCACAGCAGAAUGCAGUGAGUGCCUGUCACACGAGAGCUGUCCUGCCUCUGCCUCUGCUUGCACGACUGGACACAGCAGGUACCACUAGCCAGGAAGAAGCAUCACUCUUGUUCAUCCCCAUCCCAUUCCAGGGCCCUCUGCCCCUUAGUAGGGUCUCCUCCUGGGCCUUGGUUCCCCAGGGCCUUAUCCUUUCUCCCACUUGCCCUUGUCACACAGUGAGAAGCUGCUGUCCCCCUGGACAGCUGUUGUUUGGCAAGCUGGCCAUCUGCCCCAAGGUGAGGGAGCAGGGUGCCUCGGCCUCCAUGUCUGUAAUGUGAGAGGUACAGGGCUCCAGGCUUGAGGAGGAUGGAGCUGGACAGUCCAGAAGGCCAACCACAAAGAUAAGAUAACUUGGGUAGCAGUCCUUUAGAGGUUUGCUCACUCUGCAUUCAUUUUGCAUCCUCCUGUGCCAGCUCCUAAGCUAGGCCGCCAGAGAUUGACAUAAACGAGACCCAGGCCCCAGUGAAUGUGGACUCAGGUCUGACAUAUCUUGAGCUUUACUUUGUGCUGUGGGCACCCCUACAGAUAUAUUUUGAUCACUAGGGUUCCCGGGGAAAAGGAGGCAGGAAAGGCUUCCAAGGAGUUGGAGCUUGGCCUAAGUCUUGAAAGAUGAGCAGCCUAGGAGGGAAGGGGCUGUCUAGGCAGCAGUCUAAGCUCAGACCUGGAGGAGAGGACUAGCUAGCGGCUCUGGGAACCCACUGGUGUUUCAUAGGUGCUGAGAUGACACCUGAUUUGGGUCCUGAAGUUAACUCAGAGGUGGUGCCAUGUAGGGAAGAGGGAAGGGAUGGCUUUGCAAAUGGAGAGACAGCCUGUGGCUGGCAUGGCUGCAGCUUCAGGAACUUGCAGAGUGGAGAUAUGUGACUGUCAAGAUGCUCGAUGCCCAGUUCAUAAAUGGCUCUCCAAGCCCCCAUGGGGACUUGGACUGUAUCCUCAGGACUAUCUGAAGUUACUGAACCUUCACCUGCUCCCACCUACCUCCCGCCUGUCAGCUUACUAUUUCCCUGACUCAAACUAUUGAGCUCAUUGAAUUCCCACUGACACCAGGCAGGCAGACAGAUUUACCACAUAGAGCCUCUGCCUUCAAACCUGGGUCAAGUUCAAAAAUUAGUCCAGGAUAAGGUAGAUAUGGAGAGUUGCAGGGCAGUUGGAGCCAGCCCUGGAAAUGUCUUAAGGCCUUGGGUGAUUAAUUAACAUAUAAAUCGGACAGAUAAUUAGUGCUACUUUGGAGCACCAAAGGGACAGAAUUCUUCUCCAGGAUGGUUAGGGACUACACUAGGAGGUGGUGAGAUCUAGGUCCAACCUUGAAUGCCUUUGGGUGUUGAAUGAGGAGCUGAAAGGAAGGCCAUUGCUGGGGAGGUGGGGACAAGCAGGCUGCACCCUUGGCUCAGAGCCGACACAUCAGUGGACACUCCGUGCCUAUCCAGCAUUAGGAGAUGGGGAGCCAGCCAGGCUGUAGAGAUAAGGGCUCUAGACUCUCACCUAAGUGUUCAUUGACUCACCAAAUAUUUUUUAAAAACUGCCGCUUUAUUUAGGCUCUGGGCUCCUAUGUACAUGAUCACAGAAUUCUGCAUACAUAUAGGCCUGAGUGAAGGACCCUCCACCCGAGGGCUGGACAGGCUGCAAGGCUGUCCUCCAUACAUGCAAUUUCUCCCUGUUGAGCAAGCUUCAACCAUGAGAAUCAGCUAAGCUCAGACUUUAUGAUCCAGGUGAGAAAUAGGAAAGUUCAUCCUGGGUGUGAGGGAAGAGGAAGGGUCCAGAUGCUCCGGGAAAUGAAGUUGCUUCAUCCAGCCUGUGGACAGAUGGCCUGGCAGCUUCUUCGGAAGGCUGCACUGUGUCCACUCCACCUGCAGACCCUGGCUGACUGUGAGCACACAGAAUGGCUGCAGUCAUUUAGGCUUGGACAUUAUUCAAAACCACCAUUUCAGGUUGUCCACCACAUAGAAAAAUCUCCACAAAGCACCCUGGUACAUUUCAUUUUAAGCAGUGGGAGCUUCCUGGUGAACCCUGUAAGAGGAAUUAGUUGCAAAUUAAACCCCCAGGAAACAGAAUGAUUUGACCUAUUAUAUGGCAUUGUUGGGUGGAAGCCAAUUGGAAGUUGAAAGACACCUGCCUAAGAUGGUGAUUUGGGUCUCAGAGCAAUUGAUCUUAAACUCCUCUGGCAGAUGUAAGGGAGCACCAUCAAGGGUCCUCAGAAUGGUGACCUUCUCUGCAGAAUAGAUGAGAAUGAUGGGAAUCAGCCAACAUGGAAUGAGGUCCCUGCAGGUGCUGGUGGUUUUCUGGAUAAGUUUGUCUUCCUCCUCAUUUUGAGCACCCUUUGUCUCAUUGCUCCCUCUGCCCCAUAAUAUUCCUUCUGCUAUUAAUAUACAUGGCAUUGACAGUGAGGAAAGCAAGCUAGGAAGGAGGCUUUCCUCCCGGCCAGCAGAGGAGGAAUAAGCGUAUAAUGGCCUUUGGGUUAAUGCGAGACUCAGCAGGACCUCUGAGGUCCUCUGCUCCCCAGGCUUGGAGCAUGCUGUGACCCAGGCUGGCCUGUGGAGGAGCCUUUUUCCAGACUGACAGCCAGUGGCCAGCCCCUCUGCCAGAGUUGGGAAAAGCAGGGCCUUCUUCCCAUCAGCCGUGGGCACGUGGCUGAAAUAUCAGGCCCAGAGGCCAGCAGGUGUACACAGCAGAGGAGGGCUCAUGCUAAGAGGAGUUUAAAGAUUCCUUGGGAGGAUGGGGCAGGACUUCCCCAGGGAAGCGUCCACCUCUUUGUCUCACCAGGACAAGGAUGAGUUGGAUGAGCUGGAGCCUCAGCGGUCAUGUGGCCUGUGGCUGGUGCCUCCCUCCAUCAGGAGACGUGAGUGAAAUCUGAAGUGCAUGUCUGUGUGGUGGCAGCUGUAACGUGACAGCUGCCGCCCGCCCGCCCUUCCCCCAGCCUGUUCUCAAGUGAGGAAGCUUGUCUGGCAGUGCCAACUCAGCUGUCAUCCCACAUCAGUUUUUGUAGAUUCCAAGCUAGUGGAAAAGUGCCAAACGCAAGCAGAUGAUAUACUUAAUGAAACACUCAGGAAGAACGCUUCAUUUCCAGAUAUUAGGGGUUUGUGUGUCAUGUUUCUGGGCCCUGGAAUCAGAUCUUGCCUUCUCAGCAUUGUCACAGUGUACAGGGUUCCUCACCUUUAGGGGAAUAUAAAAAAGACUGCAUGAGGUAGAAGUUUAUGCUGUCGAAGGGCAGCAUACAUGACUGAUAUAAUGAAAAAAAAUGAAAUGAGACGUCUUCUCCAUGUGGACAUAAACUGAUUGACUGGGAGUCAUUUAUACCAGAUGUGAGCUAGAAGGAAGGUUAUGUGUGUGUGCACUCUGUGUAUAUUCCUCAUACGUAACAUCUGCAUGGAGUUUUAUGGUUUACAGGGCUCUUUUAUAUACCCUUUGUUUGGUUUUAUUUUAAACAGCCCCAUGAAGUUGAUAUUAAUAUCCUCCCCACUCCACAACAGAGGUUGCCAAGGCUCUGCUGGGGCAAAUCACUCCUCAGAGGGCAUAGGCUGAGAGGUGGCACAACCAGGGUUUGAACCUAAGUCUUCUGAGUCCAGUUCCAAAAUGUACUUACUGGUAUUUGGAAUUGCCAGUGUAUUUCAUGUGUGGAAUUGAAGGAGAAGUAAUCAGUCAGUUGAGUUAUAUUUGUAUUUAUUCUAACCUGAUCAAGUUUGAAUGAGGAGUAGGACAGAAGAGAAUAAUAUUUAUAUGCACAGUGCUCUUCAUUGGUUACUCUUUGAGAUCUGCUGACGUCGUUUGGCUUUUGAGGAUCUGGAAGCACAGAGAAGUUGGAGGAUUUGCUGGGGUCACGCAGCUUGGAGUGGCCAGCUGAGGAUCCAAUCCAGAUCUCAUGGUCACUUUCUACUCUCUCACACUGCAGUGUUGCUAUAACCAUAAAUAAAUAUAAGGUAACAAAGGGAUAAUAUGAAAAAGGGUGGUUCUGUAAAUAAAUGAAACCACUGAGGUCAAUCAGCCACCUAUGGUUCGAACAUUUUGUAGACAAGCUGGAAAGGAGAGGGACAGCUGUCUGGGGUCUCCCAGCAGCAGCCAGGGCCAGGUCCUGACCCCAGCCUUGUUCUCCCAUUCCCCUCCUGGGUCUCAGCUUCAGGCAUUUCUUCACAGUCUUAAGUUUUUUUAGGUCUCUGAGCCAAUAUACAGGAAUACUCUUGGAGUUGAUCUCAGUUCUGUAUUGCAGUCUUCCUAGUUAGAAGAGAACCUUAAAAUUCCAAAGUUCAGACAACUCUUCCCUACCAAGUGAGGCUGUAAUCUCAGGCUUAUACAGAAAUUCUAUAUUUCUCAGCAGUGAAGUCCACAUUCGCACUCCCAGUUAUUUUUAGGUGGGAACUUCAUAUUUUCUGUUUCAUACCACAUUGGCUUCCUUGCCUAACAGGUUAUAUUUUCUGUCUUGCAGUAGUGUUGGAGCGGCCUUAUUUUUAGCUUGGUUCAUUUUUUUUCCUGUGACUUCCGUUUUCUUGUUUAACACACACACACGCGCACACACAUUCACAUAGGCAUCCGUUCCCGUCGCACUUUCCCUGCCAGUUUUCAUUCACUUGGUCACAAGACUUCAUCCAAAAGGCAAGUGUUAAGCCUCAUCUCAUUCCAGGAAGAAAGGAAGAGGAAGAGCCUUCAGCAAAUCUCAAGAAUCUACUUGUGACAUGGGCUGCUGCUUCUCAUUUUAUUAAAAUCUCUUCAGCUGUCACUCACCUCAUCUGCCGCUAACUCCUGGUUGAGACACUCUCUUGUGCACACCUGAUAAGAAAUGCUUUUGAGCCCCCUUGCAAAGAAAACCUAUUGACUAGGGUUGGGGGGGGAUGUUCUCAGAGGCUUGUGUAUUAGGCUUCUAGAGGGCCUAGAGUGUGAGAGUGCUUGUGUGUGUGUGCGCGCACGUGCGCAUGCGCAUGCAUAUAUGUAUGUAUAUGGUGCUCAUCAGACCCUGUUUCCAUCCCUGACACCUGUAGCAUUUGAUUCUGGCGGCAGGCACCCCAGGGAGGGCACUUGCCUGUGGUCCCAUGGUUGAUGACCCUUGUUGGUGCUGUUCAGUUCAUUUACACCAUGCUAUAUGGUGGCAGGCCAGUAGUGAGAAUCCAGUCUAAAAUAUUAGGACACAGCCCGGGAACAUGACUUACCCAGUCCCCUGCAUGGGAUAAAGAACGGGGAAGACCCCAAGCCUCUGCUCAUCCUGAGUCCUCAGAAGCCUUCAGUGGCUCCCUGCUGCCCCUCCACUGAAGUGUGAGCCUCUUUAGCCUGGUGGUGCUUGAGCAGGUGACACACUUAACUAAUAGCCACAAAGAAGACCUCAUUUUUAGGCCGUGAGCUUCUCUGAAGCUGGACCAGGUUUUUAUCUUCUAUUUAUUUAUUUAUUUGGUUGGUUGGUUGGUUGGUUGGUUGGUUUUGAGACGGAGUUUUGCUUUUGUUGCCCAGGCUGGAGUGCAAUGGCACGAUCUCAGUUUACUGCAACCUUUGCCUCCCGGGUUCAAACAAUUCUCCUGCCUCAGCCUCCCAAGUAGGUGGGACUACAGGCUCAUGCCUGGUUAAAUUUUGUAUUUUUAGUAGAGACGGUGGUCUUGAACUCCUUCCUCUUUUUGGUUAGGUGGUCUUGAACUCCUUCCCCUGCCUUCCAAAGUGCUGGGAUCACAGGCAUGAGCCACCCUGCCCUGCUGGACCAGGUUUUUAUUGUUCAGUGCUUUCCCAUAAACCAGCAACACCGGGACUCAGGAGGGGAGGAGUGAACCAGUGAAGCGAUUUGUUGUUGACCUCCUUUUUCACCUCCUCUAGCCACAUGGGUUUCCAGAGUCAGGACUCUUAGUCUGUCUCCUGAAGCACGUUUCUGGUAUGGGAGCCUGGAACCCCCUGUUAAUCUGUGGAAAAGAACCUGUCGUGGUGCUGCCUGUAACCCCUUCGGAUCCCUCAGCGAGGCAUUGCCUGUUCUGAGCAGGCCUCUGAUCUCUUUUACCCCCAGGCACACCUCCCUCCACAGAGCAUGGCCUGCGGGUUAUCAUCCAUUUCAGUUUGGUUUUUGGCUCAGGCUGCUGAUCAAAAUUAGGUGAUGGGCAUCAUUUUGCCUUGUGACUUAGAAGAGAGGGCAUCAAGCGUCCAGGAGAGUGGGGCCCUUUGCAGUGAAACCAUGGGUCCCAAAAAGUUGUUAGGCCUGUCCUCGUAGCUGCGUUUUUAGGGAAAGCUUUCAUCAUUUCCGUGCUGAGACCAUAACAUGGUUCUUUAAUGUGUCUUUAAAUAUCAAGUACCUCUGUGGAUCACCGGGGUCAUGUUUGAGGGCAUGUUAAAAUUAAAAUGUACAGCUUGGAGUUAAAAAUCAAAACAUAAUUUGUUCCAAAUUUAAUUUCCUAAACUUCAAAAUGUUUGAACAUUACAUAAAGUGAAAACUAUUUAGAAAUACUCAUGAAAGCAGAAGCCUGUUUGACCGGAAUAUUAAGUAGAAGUUGAUGGAAUUCCAUGUCACAGUGCUCCCUGAAAGCAUGGAGCCAUUAGGAGGGCAUGACAGACUCUGAUCAGGAAAGCCGAGGUGGGAAAUCCUAGCUCUGCCAUUCCAGCUCAGGUAUCUGCCCUCUCAGUCUCAGCCUCAGUUUCCCCAUCUGUCCUAGGGGUCAUGUAGAAGUACUGGCACUGUGCCUGGUUCCACACAGGCCCUCAGCAAGUGCUGUCACAGAUACUGAUAAUACCAAACAGUAAAGUCUUCAUGUGCCACAUUUGCAACUUCCUUUUAAAAUUUUAAUUAUCACAUUAAGUAAUACGUGCUCUGAGUAAGAAGAUUCAGCAUACAGGUAUAUAGGGGGUAAAAAGUGAAAUCUCCCUCCAGAGACCAGGAUUGUUAAUUAUUUGUUAUGUAUUCUUAUAGCCCUUUUCCCAUUUGCUUACAAAAAUACACAUCUGUGCAUAUCUACAAACACAGUUUUCAACAUAAAUGCUAUCCUACCAAACAUUGUUCUUCAUCACAGAUGUUGUCUGAGGUCAUUCGUUGUAUUGAAUGAUUCCGUGUGACUGUAGCACAGCGUAUUCAGUUGUUUUCCUCUUGAUAGACUUGUAGCUUAUUCCUAGUCUUUGGUCCCUUCAUUCUGGGCUCCCUUCAUUCUGUAGCAAACACUUGUGAGCAUUUAUUUCUGCCUGUUGGUCUAGAUGAUAUUUCUGUAGAGCAGGUUUCUAAAAGUGGAAAUUUAGGCCACAGAAUAUUUAAUUUUUGUUAGCUCUACCAAUGUUACCUCUGAAAAGGGCAUUUCCAGUUUAUACUCCUUCAGCAGUCUAUGAGUACAGUUCCCAUCUUAGAAUAGACCAAUGUUUUUUAAAACAUUUGUUUUCUGUGCUAAAUUCUGAAUUUGCAAAAGGCUGUUUAUGUUAUUCCUUCACCAGUAUUUACUGAGCAUCUGUGGAGCUGGAUUCUGCUCUGGGAAUCACCGGGGAUGUGUUAAGAUGAAUUCAACUGGCACUUGAACCCCAGAGGUGGAGUGGGGUGGGAGCUGAGCACACGAAGGGCUAGAAAGUGGUAGAAGCCUCAAGGCUUUCAGAGUGGGGAAGACGUGAUGGUGAGGGUGUUAGAUUCCUCUCUGGGCCCCUCUGCCACCCCUCACACUCUUGACAGUUUAGAGUACCUGGUGCUCUAAACUGAACAGAGGCUGAGACUUGAAGCUGGGGGCAGCAGCAUGUCAGGUGGGGGCACCUGGAAGGUAGCCCAUUGGAACAGACCACCAGAGGAGAUGAGGCCGUCUCUACUCAGGGUGCCUCUGCUCUCGUGUUCUGGAAGUUGAUGACAUCUUUCACGCAGUAUCGAACCUUUUCAGGGCCCUGAGGGAGGGGCUGUUCUUGUUUCUUCCAGCACAGAAAUGUUCAUUAUCCAGAUGUUUCCUUCCACAUAAUUCUUGGGAUGAUUGUGUGGAUGGUGUCAUCUAUAACAGCUAUUGACAGGAAAGAGCCACCUAUGAGUAGUUUUGAACAGUGACAGCUUUCAGGUUCCUGGCUCUUCUGCAUGGCAUCCCACACACACCUUUUCCUUCCCCAUUCCUCUUUAAAACAAAAGCAAAAACAGCAACAAUAAAAUCACUUUAAUAGGGUUUCAUGUGCUGUAACACCAAGACAUACAAGAUGUGCUGUUUGAGUUGGAAAGGCCAUUAGGUUAGAAAGUGGAAGACACAGGAACUGUGCCGACUGCUUACUCCUCACUCUGUGACUUUGGCAAGACCCUUCAAUUUUGAGUUUCCUGUUUACCCACUUAAAUGGAGUUGCCAGCUCUGUCUGCAAUCAGUUGGUUGCAAGAACCAAAUAAUGCAAAGGGUUUUGUGGACCAUGAAGUGCUAUGUGAAAGGAGGGAGUCUUGCUGUUAGUCGCUUUUGUUAAAUUUUGGUUGGCCCCUGGCAUGCUAUCGAUUGCUCCUGGGCCAGGUAGGGAGCCCCACUGAGAUCCUUGGUUUCAUGGCGGCUUUGCUACUGUUCAGUCUCCUGAAGGUAGAAUUGCAGGUCCUCUUAGGGAACUGCAGUUCGGCUGCGUGACUCAUUCUUUGGGGUCAGGAGAAGUGGCAGGCAGAUUCUUCUGUAUUGUGACAAAGGUAAUUCCUCAUAGACUUGACUGAGUUGAUCCAGUGUUUGCAGGAACUUUGUUUCCUAAGAAGAGAAACAGACAAGCAGCCUGUCUAAGGACCAAGUUCUGGGUGUGUAGGGAAAGGGCUCUCCAUAGAGGCAUGUAUUAGGGUUCUCCAGAGAAACAGAGCCAAUAGAAUGUGUGUGUGUGUGUGAGAGAGGGUGUAUGUGUGUGCGUGUACAAAGAGAUUUAUUAAAAAAUGGAUUGUGUGAUUAUGGAACCUGGCAAGGCCCAAGAUUUGUUGGUAAGUUAGUAAGCUGGAGACUCAGGAGAGCCAGUAGUUUUCUACCGGUCUAGGACUAAAGGCCUGGGAACCAGGGGAGUCAAUAGCAUAGUUCAAGCAAGUCUGAAGGCAGGAAAAAGGCCAGUGCCCCAUGUCAAAGGCAGUCGGGCAGGAGAGUUCUCUCUGACUCGAGAAGGUCAGCCCUUUUGUUGUGUGCUGGCCUUCAACUGAUUACAUGAGGCCCAUCCACAACAACGGGUAUGCAAUCUGCUGUGUUCAGUGUACCAGUGUAAAUGUUGAUGUCAUCCAGAAACACUCAGAAUAAUAUUUGACCAUAUAUCUGGGCACCCCAUAGACCAAUCAAGUUGACACAUAAAAGGAACUAUCCCAGGCAGGAAAGCACAGCUUUGGAUGAGAGAGAAGCUUCUAAGUGGGUAGGGUUCUUGUUGCACAUGGUGCUUGGAUUUUAGAGGAGUUUGCUGGAAGGUGGUCAGGAUGCCAAGGUCAACAUCCAGCAUGCUGGUAGGAUGGGUGCUCUCGAGAGGUCCCUUUCCUCCUUAACUUCCUGGAGCCACAGUAUUAGCAAGUUAUAAGAACAAGAAGCCGGUGUGAAUAUCCACUUGUUAUAGAAACAGACUGAGGAACCCUGGAGUCAGAAAUGCCUCUGAGAUCAUCUGGUUCAACCCCUCUCAUCUUACCUGCGAGGAAUAUUAGCCCUGAUGGAUUGGGCAGCCUGCCAAGGUCACACAGCCGGUGAGCGAGGAGCCAGGCUGAUCCUGGGCUGGCAGCUUUGUCAUUAUUAUCCAGAAGGCAAAGGUUGUCCCUCAGUCCCUGGGGGGAUUAGUGCCUCUCUUGAAGCAGUUCCAAAGUGAGGAACGCUGGGCAGAGCACAUGCCAAGAUCUCAGCAAGUCAUUUCCACUGAGGCAGCUGUGCUGGGUACUGGGCACAGUGCCAACAGCACCCCUCAGCUUGAGGAGUGACCCUGUGACUAGCCCCAGGUAUACAGGUGGGGUUUGACACUUUGGUUGGGAAGUCUGGCGUUUGGUGAUGGGGUACAUCAGCCCAGGUGACCAGGGCCCGCAGGGUAUAUAGGUAGAGGGGAGGGUCCUCUUCAGCAGAGGGCCCUGGCUCUACUCUAGGCAGCUGGUACCCUGCCCCCACUGCCAGUUUGUAAUCACUAAGCACCAGCCAGACUAGCACCAGCAGCCUGUGUUGGCCGCCACUCUGAUGCAUCUAGAACGUGCUGGAUACUUCUUUGGUGGGCCACUCUCUUCUUCAUGAUACCACCCUUUGCUUUCCUCCCAGGCCGCCUGACCUUGGUGAAUCCUGUAGGGACCUGCAUGUGGUCAGAUAAACCUCAGGGUUAGAGGGCAGGGAGCCUGAGAUGACCUCAGUGACCCUGACUAAUGACCAAACUGACAGCCAGAGGAAGGAAGUGACUUACCUGGUGUCACUCAACCUGGUAGGACCAGGACGGAGUUGGAGCUGGGACUGUGACUGUGCUCUUCCAGCGCCUGCCUCCUUUGCUGACCUGAAUGUGUCUGUGUUCUGUUGUCCCUGGUGGAGUAGAGGGAGCACUGACUUGGGCUGGAAAGGCAGUAUAGAUGGCUGCACAGUUAAGGACAUGGGUUUUGGAACCAGGAUGCCUGUGUCCCUUCCUAGCUUGCCCCGUGGCUUUCCAUAAAAUGGCAGUGUCUGUGGGGGGUACCACCUCAUGGGGUUGUUUUGAGAGUUAAACGAGAAGCUGGAUGGCAUGCACUUAGCACAGACCCCAGCAUGCACUGUUUCUAGAAUGGUUAUUACUGCACUAUUGACAGUUAACUCUUUGAGACCUCGGCCCAACCACUGAGCCCUGAGCUAUGGACUUGUAGCAGUCAGGUGAGGAGGGGCCUGGAUGCACUAUAGCCCCUCUGAGACUCACUCUCUUCUGUGAGAACUGCAGAUGAAGCUGCUUGGUGAGCAGGGAAGCCCCUGCAGUGUAAGGGGUGUAGCUGUGACUGAUCUGGCAUGAAAAAGCCUGUCCCCCGUGGCUUUACCUCAUUAGCGUGUGGCCCCAGGCCUCUCUGGAGGCAGACCUCACCAUGUCCAACAGGCUGGAAGAUUGCGUGCUUGGGACACUGGCCCUUUGUGCAAGUGUGGUCUGUUGAGACUCAGAAGGCACAAGCCCAGACGCACAUCUGUCUCCAUGUGCCGCAGCCCUGCGAAGUCCCUGCUGGGCCCUGGCUCUGUCUGCAGCACAGGGGUCCAGGGAUGCCUGCCCUCUCACGGUUGGCCUGAGGAUACUGGUGCCACCGGUGCUAGCCUGACCCCUGCUCGUCAUCCCAGUGGAUGUGCCAACAUUUCCAUGUCUGGGGGCUGUUCACAGGAGCAUGUUUUGCUUUUUGGAGCUGUGGGUAUUCUCUAUCCACUUCUUGAAAGGGUGGAGCCCUAAUUGUUUGGAGGACCCACCCUUCAGAUUAUCAGCAUCUGUUACACACCCCCAUGUUUCCUGCCAGCUUCUUAAAGGAUUUUGUGUAUGUGAAGCACAAACCCAAUGAGAGCUCCUGGUCCACCUUUCCCAGUUGCCUGCCUUUAGAGGCUGCACCCCUAGUCCUGGCAUCCCAGACCCACCAUAGCCUGGCCCACCUUCUUUGUGGACCUCUCCCGGUUUCCUUCUACCUCAUGAGCAUUAGGAUUAAGGCAACAAGAACCCUGAUUUUUACCUCCACAUCCCUCAGCUUUUCUCUCUCCCAGACUUGGUUUAUGCUUGUCUUGCCCCAGUUACCCUUUCUCCUGAUAGCCUCAUCUUCCUCCUCUCCUUGAGAGCCUUCUACACCUGGGCCUACCUCUCGCUGUUGGUGACACCAAGCAGGUUUGUUGGCAUCCCUGGCCCUCAAGGUGUCUCCUUGCAUAAGGACUUGAGAGUCUGUGAAAUGCCACCUCCUCCCUGAAGUUUUACUGAAUCCUAUGGCUGGAUUUCCUUUUUGCCUCCUCCAAGCUGCUAGUACAUGCAGCAUUCUAGGGCCCUGGGAGCCAGGCAGAGCUAGGCUGUUCCUGGCUUAGCCUCUGCUUCUGUCUGAACCUCGGUUUCUGAAUUAUAAAAUGCAGUAUAACUCUUGCCUCUCUGUCUUGAGGAUGAGGAGUAGUUUACUUUCAAUGCCCAGGACAUAGGGCAGUGCCUGAUGCAGGCAGGUGCUCGCUGUCCAACUGAGUGCUUACAGACGGUGGUGUCCCAAUUCUUCUGCUAAGCCACAAGUUCCCCAGGAGGCAGGAGCCUCAUCUAAUGUCACAGGAGUGCUCAGCAUCUGGCCUCAGGUCCAGCGUGGCACAUAGUAGGGGUCAGUAGGUAUUCGAGGAAGAAGAGCAGGCACCCCACUUGCCUGUGUAGUUGGAUCUUGCAGUGAACAAGGAUUUAAAAGCAGCAUCCUAAGUAGAAGUGGUUCCUUUUAAAGGAGGCCCAUUUGCCCCCUGACUUUGGCCCCCAGAGCAGCAAGCACGCCUCAGUGAGUCUCCACGGGGGAUGGCGCCAGAACGUGGGCCUGCAGCGGCUCCGAGGCCUCCCACGUGCAAAGUCAGUCACUGGAAGAUGUGGAGUGACGGCAGACCUGAAGGACACAGCAUAUCAUUGCAGACAGCGCUCCACGGCAAGGUCUGCAUGGCCUUUUAACUCACAGUGAAAGCAAUUGUCAUCAAGUUUGCAGACUUUGUCUCCCCUCUAGUAGUUCAGGCCAGAGGGGAUCACGAGAAGAGCCUGUCCUAUACCAAUGACCAAUGGAAGGGAGCAAACCCAGGCACCCUGACUCCAGACUUGGGCCUUUCCCUCGCCCUAGGGCUGAGCAUAAAAGAUCCAGCAGUACAGGUUCAGCUGGGCAGCCACAGGCCCUGCUCUGCUUCCGAGGUGACCAUUGUUCUUGUCCCACAGCCAUGCUUCCUUGGUGCCCGCCCUCUGUUGCAUGGGUGUUUCUGUGCUUGCCUGGAAAAGGGAUGGCAGAAGAACUCCAAUUAGUCAGUCUCCUGGCUCCUAGACAACUCCGGAAACUAGACUAGAUAGAGGAGGAGGAGGUGGGGCCUCCUGCUGUGUGACGGUUGGGGUGACUCCAGCUCCAUCUCUGAGCUGCCCUGCCCUGCCCUGCUCUGCUCUGCCCUUGCUGCCUGCAGCACACCCCAGAGGCCCCCUGCUGCCCUGUGUCACUCACCCUCAGCCUCCAAGGGACCCCUGAAUUCAGAUGUUGAAGCACCCUGGUUAGGGGGAGUAUUCUUCUCCAGCAGAUGUUUGAAUGGUUUAGAUGGGGAGAAAGUCGUCUCCCUUUUGAUGUGGCACCUGGAACUUGGCUGGUUUUGUCACGUGUCUAAUUAGGAAGAGCUGCCUGACUCCUGCGGAGCUUAUCACUCACUCCCUGGUGCCCGGUGUGCUUUUAACACCUCAGGGAGCUGACUGCAGUAGAUGCCCUGGCCCCUAGAAGACCAGAAACAAGACAGACUGAUUUAAAAAAAAAACGAUGCCAGAAAGCAUCCGGGACAGGCCAGAGAGCCCUGGUCCAGGAGUUAAGGAGCCUGGGACCUAGUCCUUGUGAAUUUCUUCCCUUCCCCAGGCCUCAGUUUCCCCUCGGUAAAGUGGGGUGACUAGACAGACAUGAGAUCUGCCCUGUGUGUUUUACGUUAUUUACAAGAACUGACCUGGAUGGCUCCCACGUGGGGGUGUUAGAUUGUCAGAGUGCCACUGAACUUGGGAGCUGUGGACCCAGAAAUGGGAACAGACUCCAAAGGUGGUGUUGGGACCCUCCCAUUCCCAGUGCAGUGUUGGCCUCUGAGGCUUUAGUCAGCAGGCCUUCUGUGGCUCUACGGGCAAAGACAGCCUCAGAGGAAGAAGAGUCUUGGAGAUGGGGCUCCAAAGAAGCCUCCAGGAGUGGUCAUUGAAAUGAUAAUAUUAACUAAGCGCCUUCUACACCAGGCACUGUUCUAAACAUUUGAUGUAUGUGGAUUCAUUUAAUCCUUGUAACAUCUUUCUCCAGUGGGUGCUGUUGUCUCCCCUCUAGAGAUGAGGAAACUCAGGUAACUUGCCCCAGGUCACCUGUUGGAGCCAGGAUUUGGGCCAAACUGUCUGGUGGGAUCAGCGUUUUCACCCAGCUCACAGUGCUGCUGUGCCUGUUGGUUCACCUGGACUGAGGACUUUGCCUCCCUCCAGGUGGUUGGCAUGGGGCAGCCCCAGUCAGUGGCAAGUGCAUCAUUCCAGUAAUGCUGCCCUUCCUGACACCACUGGGGCCCUGAGCCUAAUCUACCUGCAACCCUCAGGCACAGAUCCCUGGUGGCUGCAAAGCCAUGUGAAAGAGAUCAGAUGGCACAGCUGGCAUGCCCACCACUGGCAGAAUAGAGGUUUCUUGGGCUGAGAGGUAGUGGCAGGGCCUGGGAAUGGAGAGCCAUACAAUUCUACCUAGCUCUGUCACCCUGUGAUUAGGGAGUGGUAUGAAUCCCAGACAAGCCCAGCUGGGAAAAUUAGAAGUGAAGGGCCUACAGGUCAGCGUCUGUCAUUUCCAGCAAGGCUCCUGCACGUCUGUGCCAGUCUGUGUCCUGCCCAGCUCCUCCCUGCCCAAAAGUUCCUGGGCAUUGCUCCUUAAAUAUUCCUGGGGGUGCUUCCCUGCAGUACUUAAGGCCAUCCAGAAACCCACUUCCAUCGGCCUCCAGCAUCAUCUCCCACAGGAGAUGAUCAAGUCCCCAGCCCUCCUAAGCAACCUCAUGUACACCUUAAGCUUCUGAUUCCCUGGGCCUCUGCCUCAGUUAUUCCUCUGUCUGGUACCCAUUUUCUCUGCCACAUCACUGUGUCAUGAUCUUCUGUUUAAAUUCUUUAAGGCCCUCUCAGAUUCCCCCAAUGGAAACCUGUCUCUUAGUUAUCAAAUUGUGGUAUCAAGUCUGUUCCCAUUAAGGAGCCUGAGCUGUGUCUGUCCCUGUUUAGAGCUCUGCCUCUCCUACCAAGGGCUUCAUGAAGGCCUUGUCCUCAGGUGAGCCACCACGCCUAGUCCAUCUUCUUUGAAAAUAUAUAUUUGAGACUCUCCAUAAUGAAAUGUUUAGGCAUACCUCAUUUUAUAUUGCAUAUUGCUUCAUUGUGGUUUGCAGGUAUUGCAUUUUUUUUAAUAAAAUGAAGGUUUUUAGCAACCUUCUGUCAAGUAAGUCUGUCAGCAUCAUUUUUCUAACAGCACGUGCUCACUUUGUGUCUCUGUGUCCCAUUUUGGUAAUUCUCAUAAUAUUUCAAACCUUUUUACUAUUAUUAUACCUGUUUUGGUGACCUGUGAUCACCAUAUGUUACUAUUUUACUAUUUUGAUGUUUCUAUUGUAAUUGUUUCGGGGCACCACAAAGUGCACCCACAUAAGAUGGUGAAUUUAGUAAAUGUUAUGUGUGUUCUGACUGCUCCACUGACUGGCCAUUCCUCUCUUUCUCUCUCCUUGGACCUCAUAAAACACAAGAAUGUUGAAAUGAGGCCUAUUAAUAACUCAACAGUGGCCUCUACAUUUUCAAAGGAAAGGAAGAGUCACACAUCUCUCACUUUAAAGCUAAACCUUAGAAAUUUUGGGCCUAGUGGGGAAGGCAUGUCAAAAACCAAGAUCAGCCAAAGGCUAGGCCUCUUGCACCAAAUAGUUAGCCAGGUUGUGGAUGCAAAAGAAAAGUUGUUGAAGAAAAUCAAAAGUGUUACUCCUGUGAAUACACAAUUGAUAAGAAAGCAGAACAGCCUUGUUGCCAACGUGAAGGAAGUUUGGUCUGGAAAGAAGCUCAAACCAGCCACAAAUUCUCUUAAAUCAAAGCCUAAUCUGGAGCAAGGCCCUAAUCCUUCAAUUCUAUGAAGGCUAAGAGAGUGGAAGAAGCUUCAGAAAAGCUAACAGAGGUUGGUUUAUGAGGUUUAAGGAAAGAAGCUAUCUCCAUAACAUGGAAGUGCAAGGUGAAGCAGCAAGUGCUGAUGUAGAAGCUGCAGCAAUUUAUCCAGAAGAUCUGGCUAAGAACACUGAUGAAGGUGGUUAGGCAAAACAACAGAUUUUCAGUGUAGACAAAGCAACCUUCUAUUGGAAGAGAUGCUGUCUAGGACUUUCAGAGCCAUAGAGGAGAAGUCAAUGCCUGGCUUCAAAGGACAGGCUGCCUCUCUUGUUAGAGACUAAUGCAGCUGGUGACUGUAAGUUGAAGCCAGUGCUCAUUUGCCAUUCUGAAAAUCGUAGGGAUGUUGAGAAUUAUCCUAAAUCUACUCUGCUCUUGCCCUGUGAAUGGAACAAUAAAGCCUGGAUGACAAUUCCUCUGUUUACAGCAUGGUUUACUGAAUAUUUUAAGCCCACUUUUGAGACCAACUGUUCAGGAAAAAAAGAUUCCUUUGAAAAUAUUACUGCUUAUUGGCACUGCUCGUGGUCACCCAGGAGCUCUGCUGGAGAUGUACAGGGAGAUGAAUGUUGUUUCCAUGCCGCUAACACAACAGCCAUUCCGUAGCCCAUGGAUCAAGGAGUAAUUUCAACUUUGAAGUCUUAUUAUUUAAGAAAUACAGCUCAUAAGGCUACAGCUGCCAUAGAUAGUGAUUCCUCUGAUGGACCUGGGCAAAGUAAAUUGAAAACCUUCUGGAGAAGAUUUACUAUUCUAGAAGCCAUUAAGAACAUUUGUGAUUCACAAAAGGAGGUCGAAAUAGCCACAUUAAAGGAGGAGUUUGGAAGAAGAUUCCAAUCCUCACAGAUGACUUUGAGAAGUUCAGGACUUCAGUGGAGGAAGUAACUGCAAAUGUGUUGAAAAUAACAAGAGAACUACAAUUACAAGUGAAGUCUGAAGAUGUGACUAAAUUGCUGGAAUCUUAGGAUCAAACUUGAACAAACAGAGUUACUUCUUACGGAUGAGCAAAGAAAGUGUUUUGAGAUGGAACCUGUUCCUGGUUAAGAUGCUGGGAACAUUAUUUAAAUGACAACAUAGGAUUUAGAAUAGUACAUAAAUUUUGUUGAUAAAGCAGCAGCAGAGUUUAAAAAGAUUGACUCCAGUUUUGAAAGAAGUUCUACUGUGGGUAAAAUGUUACCAAACAGUGUUUCGCUACAGAGAAAUUUUUCAUGAAAGGAAGAGUCAAUCUAUGUGGCAAAUUUUAUCUCAUUUUAAGAAAUUUCCACAGUUGAGGGAAGGGGCAUGACAAAGAUUUCCACAGCCACCCCAGCUUCCAGGAACUACCACCCUGAUCAGUCAGCAGCCAUCAGCGCCAAAGCAGGACCCUGCACCAGCAAAAAGAUGACUCACUGAAGGCCCAGAUGAUUGUAAGCAGUUUUAGGCAAUAAAACAUUUUUUUAAUUAAGGUAUUACUUUUUAAAGACAGUGGUAUUGCACAUUUAAUAAACUACAGUAUAGUAUAAAAAUAACUUUUAUAUGCAUUGGGAAACGAAAAAAUUUUACAGGCGACUGCCACCAUGCCUGGCUAAUUUUUGUAUUAGAGGUUGGGUUUCACCAUGUUGGCCAGACUGGUCUUGAACUCCUGACCUCAAGUGAUCUGCCCACCUUGGCUUCCCAAAGUGCUGGGGUUAGAGGUUUGAACCACUGCACCCAACUUUGGUGAGGGUUUUUUUGUUUGUUUGUUUUUUUCAGGGAGGCUCAAAGUUGGUAAACACUGGAGCAAGUAUAGCUUGUUGCUUGUGGACUGGGCAAUCUUUUAAACCCUCAUCAGAUCCACUCAGGAUUAUCACCUGCUCUCUUUGAGCCCAGCGCUUACCUUCUCCACAUUCCCAUGGGCAAGUCCCGCCAUGGCUGCAGUCUGUGGGCAGCACACCUGCCUAGCCCUCCUGGUGAACAGGCCCAGGCAAGUUCUUAGGCUCCCUUUCAGUUCUCACAUUCUCUGAUUCUAAACAAAGUGCUUUAUUCUUCUGUUCUUUCUAUAUAUGUAGUUCUACUUACAAACCUUUCUGCUCCAGAGGUCAACAGAAACCCCAGCCUGUUAAUGUUUCUGCUUUCUACCUAAGAAGCAUGAAAUUACAGCCUGCCACCUAAUAUUAAAGGUCAUUUUGCAUGAAUGUAUAGAAGGUGAUGUCCAGAUAGCUUUUGACUGAAAACAUAUGGUAACAGACUCCCCUGUGAGAUUGGUCUCUGGACUGUCAUGGAUUGGCCCAGCUAAUAAGGAGGAUGGGCCUGGUAGGUAGGCAGGAGGCAGCAACAUCUGGCGAGCUAGCCUGGCACAAGGGCCUUCAGUUUCCUGGGGCUGUUGGUGAACCUCUCCCAGGAGAGAAGAUGCUCCCAAAUGAGCAUUUUCUCAGGGAAAGGUCUUCCUAAACACACACAGCUCCUAGAAGCCCAACCUGCUUAAAAUCAUAUUUACUCUCAUGUGGCUUAAAAUCAUAUUUGCUUUCAUUCGUUCCUCAUCUUAAUUACAUUUUUUCUGCACUAGUGUCUUUAUUCAUUAUUUAAAACAACUUUCAAAAAUAAUUAUGCAGUAAUCCCUUCUCCUCUAUACAGUAGCUGUUUCCCUUCCUGUAUUAGGUUUUUCAGCUCUUGGUGUUGUGGCUAUCUGUACUACAACGUUGCUGUCUUCAGAGGAUAGAUAUUACAGGCCUAAUGUGUGAUGUCAGUAUUUACCAGUGCCCAGGGAAGGAGCAGAAUUCCCUAUGGGGUCCUGCUCACAUUGCCUGAGACUUGUUUAGAAAGUCUGCAUUAUGCUUUGCCCUCCACUCAUAAAAAGUCUUGUAUUUUACUUUUUAGCUAAGCAUAAUUUCAUGCAUACUUUUCCAUGUCACUACAUAAUCUUCAGAUUUAUCAUUUUAAUGGCUACUUAAUAUUCCAUCCAGUUAACAUGCCAUAAUUUACUUAACUGUUCCCCAUUGUUGGGGCUGUAAUGAAAAUUUGAAUUCGCCGUGUAAGAUGGGGGGAGGCUUGUUUUAAUUUUACAGUUAUAACAUCCCCCGCCCUAACUGCAUGCCGUUACUCACCCAGCUUUGGUAAGGCGCAGAUGCUUCUGGACCAGUAAAUCCUGCAUGAGAGGUGUGUGCACAAGUCCCUCUGAUUUAAUGGCUAAUCUAAUCACUGCACAUGUUUUCCUUUAAGGCUGGUAUUUAUGUAGAAUAUUCGUUUCUUCUGAAUAUUGUGUAACACUAAACUAUGCAUUUGGCAUAUUGUCCCAGAUCCUUUAUCACUGCUGUCAGGGAUUUUCAUAAAGUAUCUGGAAUUUGGGAGUAAAUAGUGGUUUCUGGCUGUCAGUUCUUUUUCAUUUAUUCCACACCACAUUCACUGAGUAUCUUGUUGUAGCGAGAGUGAGCAAAAGCACUCCUGGUUAUCGGGGGCCAACGGGAAGUACAUCUGUGAAUUGUUUGUGGUUCCUUUAGAUUAAAUUCCAAAUUGCAUGAAAAGUGCUUCAUCAUCUGUAGAGUACAUGGGGUAGUUGCUAGUUCUGUUUGUAAAGGAGGGUGAAGAGGAAGGUAGUUUUCCCAGGUCAGUGCCUUCUUGGCUGCCGUAUCCUCAGCCCCCAGAAUUCUGCAGACAGGAGGCUAGACUUCACUCUCAGAACUGAGGAAGACGAAUGCAGGUGAUAAGGACCCUACAAAGCACUAAGUAGCAGAUCAGAUAGUUUAGUAGAUUUAGUGAUUUACGAAGUUGUCCACCAUUCUUAACAGUUGGUCUUCACCUUAAAGUGACAAAGUCCUACCACUCUAUAGCUUUUCCCUUCUCUUUUUCUGUUUCUCCCUCUGUAAAAAAGGAAGCAUCAUCCUCAAAACUAAUAAAUGAUCCAGUUUACUCAUGGGACCCAGUAAAAGCUGUGUUUGCCGAAGUAUGGGACAUUUUCUCAUAGAUGUGAUAUUAGGUGUCCUGAGAACUACAUGGUGAGGAGGUUUUUCCCUUUUUAUUCUUUCUCUUCCUGGAGAGAGAAAAUUAUUCAUAUUUGCCAGAGAAAGUGUCUGUUUGCUGAUUGCAUUUCCUACCAGCUCUCCAACACUUGCACAUCUCCCCUCUCAGCAGAGAAAGCAAGCCCCAUGCUCAGCCUCCCAGCACCUACCUCGGUGGUUCUCAUUCAUUUUGCUUAGUAUCCCUUUUUGGCAAAGAAUAAUGGCUCAUGGGAUGGUGAUCUAAAGUCUCAUUUUUAAAUGAAUUUAUUUUAUCUAAAAAGGGAGGCAAGAUAAAUAAAAAUGGUAAGUAACCACCCAGUUACUACUACCACCCAAGUGGUAGGCAGAAAUGGCCCAAGUCAUGAAGUCACAUGACUAAAUAAAGUUUGGGAAAUACUAGCAUGAAGUUAAUUCAUGUAAACACUAACGAUCAUGGGCACAGCAUCCUUGGCUUCUGUUUCAUCAGGGUGUGUGUCCACAUGAGCUGCCCUGGAUCAUAAAGCCCAGUCUGAAAGCAGCUUGGAAGGGCUGAUGUCAUCUGUGUGUGUUUUAUCAGCUGCUCUUCAAGGAGUGUAACUCCUGUGGCUUCUGCCAUAUCUUUAUGCCAUCAGAACUCUGAUUUUGGGAAGGCCUCAAGAGAGCAUUGAGCUCACUUAUAGUCCUCAACCCCUUUUGCAUCAAGCCUCACCUCUACUCCCUCACCUCCUUGGACCUGGUGCUCCAGACAACAAUGACAGUGAAUAUUCAUAAUGAAGGACUAUUAGCCCAAAAAAGAAACUCAGACACCUGCUGCAACAUGGAAAAACGUUGAAAACACUAUAAAACUGAAUGAAUCCACGUUAUUCAGGAUGUACCUAGAGUGAUCAGAUUCAUAGAGACAGAAAGUAGAAGGGUAAUUGUGGGGCCUAGGGAGGCAUAAUAGGGACUUGAUGUUUAAUGGGUACAGGAUUUCAGUUUGAGAAGACGAAAAAGUUCUAGAGAUGGAUGGUAGCAAAGAUUACCAAAAAUGUGAAUGUACCUAAUGCAACUGAAUUGUACAUAAAUCAUGGCUAAAAUGGUCAGUAUUGGCUGGGGGCAGUGGCUCACACUUGUAAUCCCAGCACUUUGGGAGGCUGAGGCAGGCAGAUCAUAUGAGGUCAGGAGUUUGAGGCUAGCCUGGCCAACAUGGCAAAACCCCAUUUCCACUAAAAAUACAAAAAUUAGCCGGGUGUGGUGAUGCACAUUUGUGAUCCCAGCUGUUUGAGAGGCUGAGACAUGAGAAUUGCAUGAACCCAGGAGGUAAAGGUUGCAGACAGCUGAGAUUGCACCACUGCACUCCAGCCUGGGUAACAGAGUGAGACUUUAUCUCA